CCCAAAGUCCUUUUCCUUUGUCUUGUCGCUUUACUAAAAAGUUACGGUUCUUUCAUUCUGAUGCUAUAUCAACCCAAGCUCUAGCUACCCCUUUGAGUCCCUGAUUACCGAGUAUGGGCAGGUGUAGGGGAGACACGUGUUGACAACCUUCUGUUGUUCCCUUGUCUUUUGCAGAGCCCCAGCCAGACAACCUAGGACCACAGAGGAAAAAUUGCCUUGUUAAAGAGUCGUAAACUUUGAGUGACCCCACAUAUGUGAGGCUGGCAUUGGACCUGACUGAAGACUCUUUCCUGACCAAGGAGCAUGAGGAUUUGCGUUAACUAAUCCUGAACAGACCAAUGGAGACCUCCUGCCUGUCCAGAGGGAUAGUUCUCGAGCCUUAACGGGCUCAUCUGCCAUGAAAUCCCCUUCCUGACUUCCCCCCAUCUAACACCUCAGUGGGAUUCUUCACAGGCUGAAGCCCUGCUGAAGCAUGGAGGCUACACACAGAGCCAGAACAAGGCCAGGUGCCUAGUGAGACUCUGGAACUCAUCGGCUUCCCUGGCUAGCUUGUCAUAUAUUCUUGACAAGUUCCAAAGCCAAGAUAUGCCUGGCGUGGGAAGAGACACUCGGGAAACUGUAUCUGCAGGUUUGGACCCUCCCAGAGACUAUACGUGUUAUUGCUCUGGUCUCAUACCCAUCGAUAACUAUGCAUCAGGCUGGUGCUGGGCAAAAUGAAACCAUCUUUCAGAAGCAGUAGGAACGAUAAAGGUAAAUGCAACUUUAGAGGAGUUAAAUGACCAUUGGAGCAACUCAUCUCCGUAACAGCUUUGAGAUAUAAUUGGCACACAGCAAACCACGCACAUUCAGACUUUUGGCCCACAUAUACACUUGGGAAACCAUCACCACAAGCAAGAAAAUGGAUACGUGUUGUUUUAUACUGCUGACCCAAACCAUGAUAGAUACUGUGAUAUGAGGUGCUCCCCACAUUUGGGCCCCUCAUGUAAUAUUGCAAUCUACAGGUCAAGAAAAGACUCAAAGACAGCAAAGCUCAGGUACUAUACAGGGGACCCAAUGGUGGUCAAGAUGCCCACGUGCCUCAAAAGAAAGUUUAGAUUAAGGGGAAAAAUAUAAAGAAAGAAGAAAAAAGUAAUAAUGGGUGUAGUAUGCUGGAUGGAGUUGCUUAUUUCUGUUGAAAAGGCAGGAUGAUAUGGGGCGCCUGGGUGGCUCAGUCGGUUGGACGCCCGACUUCACCUCAGGUCAUGAUCUCAUGGUUCGUGAGUUCGAGCCCCACGUCGGGCUCUCUGCUGACAGCUUGGAGCCUGGAGCCUAUUUCGGAUUCUGUGUCUCCCUCUCCAUUCCUCCCCUGCUCACACUCUCUCUCUCUCUCUCAAAAAUAAAUAUUUUUUAAAAAAUUUUUUUUAAAAGGCAGGAUGAUAAAGGAAGCAAUGGCAAAGAUCCUCAGUAGGGUGUUGGUGGCAAAAUCUUGUGGCCUGAAAGAUGCAGAAGCAACUUUAGCUCUGCCUAUGACACCCACAAACCUUCACCACACCUUCACAUUCACUGCAUAUCACCUAAUAUGGAUAAGCAUAAAUCCAAUUAUACAAAUCCAUGAUUUGGAAUGGAAAAUACAUAAAGAAGGACAGAAUUUAUUCCCUAGUUAAAACGAUAACAUUUUUAAAGCAAACUGAGGGUUUGGGAUUUGCUCACCCAACUCUCAGGAGGGCAAUUGAAGAAACUAGAAAUUAUGUGGGUGGAGUGGCCUCUGGGAAAUAACUAAAAUAUUUAGAAUGAUUGCCCUUGGGACCCAGUGUAUCAUAAUCCCCAUGGGGGGUGGAUGGGACACCCAAGAGGACUUUAAGGUGAAACUAUCAACAUGCCAUGAUAGAUAAUACCAGAUAAAGGUUAAACUCUAAUUUGGAAAACUUGAUGAGAGAAGGUUUUCACUGGUUGCAUCACCUUUAUUAAAAUGCAUAAUUGGGAUGGGUGCCAUGUGUACGUGGAGGACCAUGUCUCCCCCAUUAUUAAAUUGUCUUCCAUGUCUGCCUUCAGCCUGGUCUCAACUGAAAUACUAAAUGAGAAUCUUUGCAAUUCCCAAGCCCUCCUCUGUAGAAAAUAUUAAACAAUAUAGAAUUCCAGGAGUGCAAGAGGAGAUUAAUGCUUUAGUUAGCAUUAAUGGUUGGAGCAGGCGUAUUGAUCUCCAUUAAUUCUCUUUUUAACAGCCCUUUCAAGCCAAAAGGCAAAGCAGAUGAUUUGCAGAUACUGAUAGUGGACGAUUGGGAAUUCAUCUAGGUAGGUCUACCAGUUGCUUCAGAUGCACUGUAGAUAUGAUUUCAAAAAAACAAAAACAAAAAACUAUGCACCAAAAGGCAAUGGGCCAAAGGAGACUAGUAUGUAAUAUCGAUUUAGUUCAUGUUUGCUCUUCUAUUUUUAUUUCAGAAGCUCGUCAAGUACAAUUUGUGUUCGUGUGUUCACCAGUCACCAUCUAGUGUAGCUUCACAUGGUCUUAAUAACCAUUAAAACUAAGGUGGCGGGCAUCUGGGUGUCUCAGUUGGUUAAGCGUCUGAUUUCAGCUCAGGUCACAGUCUCACAAUUUUUGAGUUCGAGCCCUGCAUCAGGCUCUGUGCUGACAGCUCAGAACCUGAUGCCUGCUUUGGGUUCUGUGUCUCCCACUCAUGGCCCUUUCCCCACUCAUGCUCCAUCUCUCUCUCUCUCAAAAAUAAAUAAUAAACAUUAAAAAAUUUUUAAAAAGAGUAAGUUGGUAACAUUAGUGAAAUAUAAUUGCCUCCUCAGAGGAAGGAGCACAGGGGAAUUUAGAGAUUGAGAGCAUAGCAGACAGACUCCAUUAAAAUUCAAGACUCACCCUAGUCUCUGAACAUUUGAAAAAUAACUAGAGCUAGAACCACAAAGAACUUUCUUCAUCAUGUGAGAAAUAAUUUAUGAUCUGAUCUUGACCCUGCCACUACACAGUCCCCAGACCGGAGAAACUAUUUGAGUUAUGGCAAAAUCAUAGCUCCCAUUUGGGGAUAUUGUUAGUCCUAUUCACAAAGUCACCAGAAAGAAACCGGAGAUUGAAUUGUGCCCUGACAGAAACAAACAAAUAAAAGAUUUAUAAAGGACUGCCAAUCAGGCAUUGCCUCUUGAGCCUUACAACCCCAUUGCACAAAUGACUGCAGAAGUGUAAGCAACUAGAACACACACAGACCAGAGCCUUUGGCAGAAAUCGAUAUAGCUACUCAGUGGAGAAGGCAAGGAUUUUAGACUUGAAAAUGGUCCGAUGCAGCUGCUCAAUGCAGCCAUUUAGAAACGUAAUUGUAAGCUUGCUGUUGGGCAUUGGUAGGAAUUGCUUCUACUACAGGAAAGCUUCAGACAAUCUCAAAACCAGAAACACCCAUCAUGACUUGGGUGACUGAUGGCAGAUAAACAUUCAAAUUGAGGAAGCAUCUCGAUGGCGCUCACUGACAGAGGGAAAUGGUAUCCUCAGAAAUACACGUUAGCCAGGGUUCAAGAGCUGUUCACUGCAUUUAUGAACAGAUUUCUUCACUGCAUUUGAAGCCUUUGGUGAAAACCCUUCAAAGUCCUCUCUGCGGUGGCUGCUGGAUUGCUUGAACCCCCAAAUCCUCCCCUAAGUCUACUGAUUGGAUUUCCCAAACCAAAAGUCAUGAGGCUGUUUGGAAAUCCAUUCUUACGUGUUCUAUGUAUGGUAUAUCCUUCGUGGAAGAAGGAAAAAUGCUGACGUGGCAUCAUGAGAAGCUUUAUGUUACGCUGAAAACAAUUCGCUAAUCCAAGUAGAGACACUAGAGGGAGCUAUCCUUCAGGAGACUGGACAGGGCUGGCCAUCCAUCUAGAGACUUGGUAAAGCAAUCUGAGAAUACAGUCUGUAUUAUUAGACUCAUCAAACAUCAGUCUUGCCAGCAACUCUGGAGAAGAGCAUCUACCCUUACUCAGGGGACAUCUUAAUAGUAAUGAAAUCAUAUGUAUUUAACAGACAGUGGUGCUAGUGGAAAAAUGUCACAAAGACUGUGCAGUUCGAUAAGAUAAGGUGCAAGUUACGUGUGGCUAUCAAGCACUUGAAAUGUGGCUAAUCCAAGUAAGAUGUGUCAUACGUGUAAAAUACAUAUGGGAUUUCAAAGAACACAGAUAAAGAAUGUAAAAUAGCUCACUAAUUCAUUUGAAUUACAUGCUGAAUUAUUUUGGAUAUAUUUGGAUAAAUACAUUAGUUU